ensembl:ncRNA lncRNA:CR45505 long non-coding RNA:CR45505
CUUCCAGAGAACUGCAGACUUCAGCUGAAGAUCCUGGAGACAGAAGUCGCUUCCCCUGAAUUCCUGAUGAUUCCGAUCACCGACUCCGCCAGGGUAUCUGUCAUCCAUUAAACACCAUAUAUAUGUUGUAUGUGGCGUUUAUGUAGCUGCAACGUAGAGUAAAAAGCUGCAGAUUGCCAAAUGUAAAACUCUGCAGUUUUGCUAUCAUCAUGCGAAAUCUGGGAGUCUGAUGCCGUUGAUGUCGCUCCAACUUCCCUUCUUGCCAUUUGCCAUUUGCCAUUUGCUAUUUACCCCGUUCACCAUCCUGCCCCAAAAAAAAUGCUGAACCCUAGGCUAAUCCUGCGACCAGGAUACUGCAUCCUGCAUAUCCUGGGCCCGAGGGCCCAACUACGUAUGUUUGUUAGUUGUUUACGUUUGUGUUGCCAUUUCGUUCUGUUUGCGUUAAAUGCGAAACGCGAAAUGCUAAAUCCACAAUGCAAAAUGCCGAAUGCAGCGUGCAGAAUGCGGACUGCGGAUUGAACACUAAAUUAUUAUAUCAAAUUUCGAGUCAAAUGUGUGUAAAUCAUAAAGUGAACUCAUAUGGACGACGGCAUAGACAAAAUCCGAUGUAAGCGUAUUUAAGCAUAUGUAUUUGUAUUUGUAUUUGAAUUUGUACUUGAAUUUGUAUAUGUGAAAGUUAAAUAUAUAU